rnacentral:rRNA from 1 species
AUGUCCAAGUCGAAGUGCCGCACAAAGUAUCUGAGUAAGGAGAAGUACAUGAAGGUGCCCCCGAGAUGGUGUGCGGAUAGGCUGGAUUGUUGGGAGGCGUUGGUGGAUGAGUGGUGCUCUCCCCAAUGGCUAUCCACCCACAACAAUGCAAAGGAUCGGCGUGGCAAAAUGAGCGGUGUGCCACACCAUCAAGGCAGCGUCAACCUAUAUCAGUACGGGGAUAACUGGGCGCGGCACAACAAGGCGGAUGUUCCAGAGUUGUUCGACCUCUAUGCCAUGGCCCAUAGUGCCCCGUAUAAGAAGGCCAAGGCAUUCUCUGAGUCUGAUCUCGAUGAUCCAAAGAACUUCACCAACCACGCCUACCACAACAAGCUCGUGAGGUACAGAGACGAGGGGAAGGCGAGGAAAGGGCCGAACUUUAACCCAAGCCAGCCUAUUGAUCCAGAGCUGAUGAUGAUAUCUGGUGGCGGGAGGAACCAUGGCUUGUUAGCCAUUGGGGAUGGACUGAUACGUUGUACUAGCACUCUCCCGCAGAUCAAGAGGCGCCAGACGAGCUCCGAUCCUGAGAUAAGGCCUCGUCCACGGCCAAUGGAUCUCGAAAUCAACGUUAGUUAUAAAGAAUCAGAUACCUUUCCUCCAUUACAUUAUGUGUGCGGCCGUCGAUGA